UACAGAGGUCCCAAGCGUUGUUCGGAUUCACUGGGCGUAAAGGGUGCGCAGGUGGUCGGGUAAGUCUGAUGUGAAAUCCCGCAGCUUAACUGCGGAAUGGCAUUGGAUACUAUUCGGCUAGAGGGUUGGAGGGGGGACUGGAAUUCUCGGUGUAGCAGUGAAAUGCGUAGAUAUCGAGAGGAACACCAGUGGCGAAGGCGAGUCCCUGGACAACACCUGACACUGAGGCACGAAAGCCGGGGGAGCAAACAGG
rnacentral:rRNA from 1 species